GAAAUUGAUUGGAGAACUCAAAGCUGCAAACAGAAUUUCAGCAGGAACUUAACCAGAAUUUAAUGAAGCAAAUUGAUAUCAAUCUAGCAGAACAUAGUAAAAGCAAACAAGCAAAUGAACUGAAUUGGACAGAAACAGUAAAGCCGGUAGGGAUGUGAGUAUCUGACCUGAUUUUCAGCUGACAGGAUCGAUAGAGAAGGAUAGAUUACAGGUUAGGAAUCCACCUAAACCUCAGGCAAGGAAUCCCCCAAAACUUGUGAAAGAGAAUCCACUCUUCCACUAAGAAUCCAUCUUACUCUUCACUUGGAAUUAAUGGGAUUAUAAGUCACUCAAAGGUCUAGAUUAGGGUUCCAAAUAGAAACCAGAAUCUCAGGGCUACGUUGAACCAGAAUUAAGAGGUUUUCUAUAUCUCACAGCAGGUCAACCUAAUGAGGACAGAACUCAGAUUGAGUGUCCCAGUUAAGGUGGUGAACAACCUCUCAAAACCUGGCCAAGAUCCAAUGGUUGGAUUUGGAGUUAAGGCACUAAUAUGAAUAUAGAAAGUUUCCCAAAAACAGAUUUAGAAAGCAGUUGAAAUUAGCAAUAGAUCUCAGAAAUCAGAAACCAAGCAAAUAGAAACUGAUGCUGGAAGUAGAAACUAUGGCUUGACAGAAAAUAGCAACUGCUGAAAUUGAAAACUGAACUAAAAAUAGAAACGGAUUACAGAAACAGUAAGUAGAUCAGUAUUAGCUUGGUAAAGAAAUAGUAACUGGAGUCAAAAUGCUGCAUUAGCACCAGCACAGGGAGUUCAGAACAGAACAUCAAUGACCUCCCGAAAUCGAUAGUUGAGUUGAGAACAAAACUGACUCAUCCUGGGACUUAGAACAGUACA